AGGGAUGACAAUCAUGAGACAGACAAGGAUCGGCUCGAGGGAUGCCUUUCAGAAUACAGUGCAACCACGGAAAACGUGCAAUUCUGGAGCGUCCCAGAUGUCAAGGAUCUCUCUGAGACAUUGGAGGAAAACGACAGAGGAAUGCUGACAGAGCUGCUGAGGUGUCUUGACCAGGAUGAAAACUUUGAUCAUUGUGAGGUAGAGGAACAGACCCUUACUGGACAAAUGGAUGACCAAGGGUGCAUGGACUACCCUAUGGAGGACCUUGGUGAAGCAGUGGAGAAAAGAGGACAUUCCCUCUAUCAAAGUGAAGACAUCCAAGAACUUAUGAGUCAGGUAGGAGUUGAUUGAACAGUUUUUUAUUUGGAUGUGGUCUUCUGUAGUUGGUAGAGCAUGGUUCUUGCAACGCCAGGAUAGUGGGUUUGAUUCCCAGGACCACCCGUAAGUAAAAAAUGCACGCUUGACUGUAAGUCCGUUUGGAGAAAAGUGGCAAAUGGCAUAUAUUAUUGUUUUCUGUUGCUUUGAACAAAAAAACAGCACAAAUUAGCACCCUGUGCUUGUAGAGUUUUGCAAACUGAAAAAUAGCAACAGAAACAUAGCCUGAUUUUACUAGCAUUGACUGGUUGAAGUAGUGUAACCAAUCAAUGCUCGUAAAAUCAGGCUGUUUCUGUUACUAUUGUUCAGUUUGCAAAAAUAAAAUCUGAUGCCCCCUCUCUUCUCUCCUUUCCUCUCCUCUCUUCUACUAGCACUCAACACUGACGCUGCGCAUCAACCAGCUCUUGUCCAGGUGUGCAGAGUUCAGCAUGGACAUUCUGGACACUGAGACGGACAUGGCAGUCAGAUGUGAGCCCUAUAGUUCUGAACUCGAGGGACUGCAGGAGCAACAGGAUGAGCUAGAGAGGGACUAUCAGGUCAUAAAAGAGGAGGUGGAAGAGAUGGAGGGACUGGCUUUGCGACUACAGGUCCUCCUACCUGAAAUGCCAGGGGCUUUGGGGGAGGACAUCCAUGCGACCCAGCACGCUUGGGAGGAGUUGGGCUUGAGCAUGGCAGAGAACCAAUGCAACCUCCAACAAUUUCAGCAACUGCAAGACUUUCUUAGGGCCUACCUGGCCAUGAUCUCAUGGACAGAGGACACACAGACUUGCAUUUUCUCAGAGGCUUCAGUCCAGCAGUGGAGCUUGGCAGAAUUGAGUGUUCCAUCUGAGCUGGAUCUGAGGAUAGAGCAGAAGUUUGACGAGUUUGACAAGCUCGCUGCUGCUGGGCAGAAGAUUAUCAAGGAGCGACAUCACUUGGCAGAUAUUAUAAAGGAGAGGACUGAGGAACUACAAAGCAUUCUGGGAUGGAUCCUGGUAUACUGGAGGGCACAGAAAGACCAGCUGGGUCAGGAGAGGCCAAGCGAUUCAAGAAGAAGUGAUGCCCCUCAAGGAGACGCAACCAGAUUUUCACAAGGUCAACCCCAGAAUCUAUCCUCUCUGGCAGAACACAAGUCCUCUGAAAGCCUGUCCACAAAGCACAGGCUCAUGGUGGCGAGCCAGUUUGAAGGACCACAAAAAUCCCAACCAGGGAUAGGUCACCAUGAAGAAAACUUUGCCAAUCCAGUAAACGUAACACGACACGUCCCCUUGGCUGUGGUAGUAAACUCGCCCAGCAUUAUCCUUGAAGAGCCCUGUGCUACUGUCACCCCACUGGGCAGCAGCAUCAACCUCAUCCUCAGUUUUGACCAACAGCCACCAGGGGGCGAUCUGCAACAGGGGCCAGUGGAGCCAAAGCAGGCAGGGGAACCUGUGCAUAGGGUGAGCACCUAUCUGCAAGUCACAGAUGGAAGUCCUGUUUUUGAAGACGUGGCAUCGUCUCAUGUUACUGACACGAGCCACGUGUCAACCACCUUUUCCACAAGCUCAAUCAACGCUACUUUCAUUCCCCAAGUCAGGACUGUCUUGCUCCCCACCUUACCCAGAACCAGUUCCACCUCUACCUUAAACCUGAAGGGACCGAUGAAGAGGAAGAAAAUGACACACAGACACACUGUGACUGGAAUUGUCGCAAUGCCCAAGCCAGAGGGGGUUACUACCGCGCCCACCAAUGUCAAACACAGGGCUUACACCUGGCCACUGGAGGAUAAGAAGGAAUGUCAUGCCACACAAGGGAGUCCAGGUAAUACAGAACUCCAACUGUAUAUCAAAAAUAAUUCUGUGGUGAGUGUCAUGGAUGGCAACUCUUCAGGCACGUCAAGCAUUCCUACCAUCCAGGGGCAUUUCUUGCAUGGGCCCAAUGAGAUGACCAUUAGGCAAGACAAGAGCCACUAUGGCAUUAUCCAUCUUGGGUCGAUGUUGAGUUUUGACCUGACUACGGAUUGGGGGAAAAUCUCACAGAUAAAUGCAAAAGACCUCACAACUGAGAAAGUGCCUUUUGAAGCCAAUGGAGACCAUGCCAGUCCACCUUUGAAUCUGUACAGACCAUCAGGCUCAAACACACUCGGUCAGACUCAAGUAUCGUCCAAAGUAAUUGGACAGACUUUUGCCCUCAGUCCAGAAAAGGAAAGGCAUCUUGAAGCUGAUGGGGACUGUAGACCGUCAGGCUCAAAUACACUCAGUCUAACUCAGAAAGUGAUUGGGCAGAAUUUCACCCUCAGUCCAGGGGAGGAAAGUAUCUGCGAAACAGUGGACUUUGCUGUUCAAAAUUGUUCACCUUUGAAUCUAUACAAAUUGGCAGACUCAAAUACACUCAGUCAGACUCACAAAGUGAUUGGACAUACUUUUGCCCUCAGUCCAAAAGAAGAAAAGAGCUGUGAAGUAGCUAGGCAGGACUCGCAGAAGGUCAGCUCAGAGUCUGUUUCUCUUUUGGUUCAGUGUCUCUCUCUACCUGAGAAAGACAACGUCUAUCACGACCUAAGAAGCACCACAAGGAGUCCUGCCCUUGCUGCUGGACAUGAGAACAUUUUCUCCAGCACUGUUGGCAUCCACCAUGAGGAUACGGUCGAGAUUUCCAUUCCAGUGGCUAUUUUGGACUCUAACAAGCAACGCACUGAAUCAAACUGCAGCAGCUCGAUGAUGCAUGACCACGCCCGCACUGAACCAUCACAGAACCACAACUGUUUAAGUGUUCACACUAAGAUUCAAGACCUCAAUAACCACAUAUACUUCCCUUCUGCAAAGAGGCAAUUCGCUUUCCAAAGUGACCUUCGAGUUGUAGAGAUCAAGGGCUUGUCUACUGGGUCUGAAGACUCCACAUGGAUGGGUGUGCGCAGUUCUGGACGAGUCAUUGUGUGCUCUGAGGACAACUGUUGCAUAUGCUCCGACAGUCCGGCACCUAUGAUGGUAUUGGAAAAAGAAACUUCACCCAAAAGAGAACCAGAUCAUAUUCAUCCUGAUCAUUGGCAGUUUGAGGAGGAGGAAGAGGAGCUGGAGGAUAUUUGGAAUUGCACAGCCCGGGAAAGAGCACCUUGAAUUACUGUGGUCCAAAAAUCUGAGGUGAUGCCCUUGCCACACAGACCAGUGACCAACCAGCCAGAGAUUAAAGUGGCCCUAAACGUAAAGCGUCUCAGAAUAGGAGUGCUGAUCUAGGAUUAGUUUGCCUUUUAGAACAAAAUUAAUAAGAUUAUAUGGACAGAUCCUAGAUCAGCACUCCUACUCUGAGAUGCUUUGUGGGAUACGGACACAGAUCUAGGAUCAGCUUAUUCUCCCCCUUUUCCAACUUUGACUCCAGAUGGACUUUUACUUCACAUUUCCGCAGUGACAGAGGAUCAUCGUGUACAAGCAGCAGAGGUGGAAAAAGUACUCAAUUGUCACACCUUAAUAGAAAAUGACUCAAGUAAAAGUGAAAGUCACCCAGUAACAUAUUACUUGAGUAAAAGUCCAAAAGUAUUUGGUUUAAAAUAUACUUAAAUGUCAAAAGUAAAAGUAGAAACCAUUUCAAAUUCCUAAUAAUAAGCAAACCAGGUGAAUGAGCCAAUUGGAAGCUGGGGAUGAUUAGGUGGCCAUGAUGGUAUGAGGGCCAGAUUGGGAAUUUAGCCAGGGCAUCAAGGUUAACACCCCUACUCUUAUGAUACGUGCCAUGGUAUGUUUAGUGACCACAGAGUCAGGACACCCGAUUAACUUCACAUACCAAAGACAGAUUUCCACUCAAUAAUUGAUGGAUGUCAAUGGCCAAUGGAGGGCCGAAACACUAUAGUCUUUUUUGUGACUCUUUCCAUUGGUUACUGGCUGUUAACACAACUUGAGUGUAUAUGAUACAACAUAAAACAAUAUAACAUUACUGUAUUGAAGAAAUCAGACAUGUAGAGUCACAAAUAGUGCAAUACACUGAACUGAAUGGACUUACCCCAUUGAAUACCAUACAAGAUGAUCAAAAUGUAUUUGCUCUGUCUUUAAUGCCACUUGGUGUCUUAUUUCUUUCAACCGUGUAUGAAUUGCAUGCAGGGCACAUAAACUGCUAUUUUAAUCUGCUGUACAGUAGACUAUCACUUAUCAUUUUAAUCACUUUUGUAAAAAAGAAAAGAAAAAUAGAAAUAAAGCAAAGAAUUUGCAGCUUCUUCAUAUUGAAUUGAAGUAGUUUGUCAUUAGUUGUAAUAAAGAUACCUUUUUCAGGUUAUCAUGAAGUUCUAGGAGUAGAUGUUUUAGAUGGUCAGGCUCAGAUAUAUUCACUUUAUUACUAUUACAAAAAGCAAGACAACUUGUAGUCCAAUUCGUGGCUCUGCAAACUUCCAGUUGGGGCCAGUAAUGGACCAUUUAAGAGCCUUCAUUUAUAUAGGCUACUUUAUCUGGACACAAUCUAGGCCAUUACGUAAUUCAUUGUCGAGCAGCACUGGAAAGAUAGUGUCACUACUAUUAUUUAUACUCAUUUUUCAUUAUUGUAUGCUCAUUCUUUCUGCAUUAUUUGUGAAUAUGUUUCAGUAAUUACAAGUGAUGAUUGACAUCUCAGAGAACAAACGAGCCAACACGUCACGGUAGGUCAGCCUAUCCCUAAACAAAUGACCGCAUGGGGGAGGCGGGACUUCUUCCGAUUCUGCCAGCGCGACUCAACAGAAACUAGUUGUAUUAGACACACAGCUAGGCCUAUUGAUACAGUUCAUGAAUUGUAGGGACGGGGCUUUGUCUAGUUACAAUUGCAUAAAGUCACUGAUAAAGACAGUUUAUUAUUCAACUAGGAUGUUAAGCCUGCAAGUUAAUCGUUUUGGAUAAAAUGGGAUUGGAUAUCUAGAUCUCGUCGGAG
rnacentral:lncRNA from 1 species